GGGAGUUGUAGUUAUUGCGGCUCAGCUGAGGAUGCCGGGAAGGGCUGGUGGUCGGGGGCCUGGAGCGGUGGUUGCGCUUAGUUGCGGCGGUUGUCAUCAUGUCCCGCAUUUUGGUGCCUUGCCAUGUGAAAGGCACCGUAGCCCUCCAGGUGGGCGACGUGCGGACCUCCCAAGGCCGGCCUGGCGUGCUGGUCAUCGAUGUCACCUUCCCCAGCGUCGCUCCCUUCGAGUUGCAGGAGAUCACAUUUAAGAAUUACUACACAGCUUUUUUGAGCAUCCGUGUCCGUCAGCACACCUCUGCACACACACCUGCCAAGUGGGUGACCUGCCUGCGGGACUACUGUCUAAUGCCCGACCCACACAGUGAGGAGGGAGCCCAGGAGUAUGUAUCGCUGUUCAAGCAUCAGAUGCUGUGUGACAUGGCCAGAGUAUUGGAGCUACGCCUGAUUCUGCGGCAGCCAUCACCACUGUGGCUGUCUUUCACAGUGGAGGAGCUGCAGAUCUAUCAGCAGGGACCAAAGAGCCCCUCCAUGACCUUCCCCAAGUGGCUCUCCCACCCAGUGCCCUGUGAGCAACCUGCACUCCUCUGUGAGGGUCUCCCAGACCCCAGCAGGGUAUCCUCCGAGGUGCAGCAGAUGUGGGCACUGACAGAGAUGAUCCGGGCCAGUCACACCUCCGCGAGGAUCGGCCGUUUUGAUGUGGAUGGCUGUUAUGACCUGAACUUGCUCUCCUACACUUGAAUGGUGGCUCCUACCCAAGAUGUUGGCCUUUCUGUGCCCACCCAGACUUGGUUUGGGCCACCAGAGGCUGAAGUUCAAGCGAUUCUUCUGCCUCAGCCUCCCGAGUAGCUGGGAUUACAGGCAUGUGCCACCACGCCUGGCCUGCCCCUUUCCAAGACAGAUGCUCAGCAUGAUGAGAGAUCAGCCAUGGUAGGGAGUGGGUCCAAGUAAGGGUUUGCAUUGUUGCCUUUUAAGAGGCCUAGGUCCUCCAUUAACUCAGGCUAACCAUUAAGUGAUGCAGGCUGCUCUUCCUUCAUGUGAGAAAAACCUGUUUCCCUCUGGUUCUUCCUGGCUUUGCACCUGGUGGCUAUUAUGAAGCAGUACUGCAGUAUGUCUUGGACCUGGAAAGUUGGACAUGUGUGCGGCUCAACAGUUUCCUGGGAAGAGUUCAGUGACCUUUUGGUGGCCACCCUCUGCUCUCACCUAUGAGUUCUUGCAGGUGGCGACUUUACCUGCAAGGUCACUUACAUAGCCCCACUCAGCUGCUUUGGAAAGCAUGAUGGAGCAGUAGUCCUCAAUGUGUGUGUGAGUGAAGAGAACCUUGUGGUAGCAGGGACCAUGCUUCAUUUGUGGCUGUGUCCCCAUCCGAGGGCCUGGUAUGCAGUAAGAUCAAUACAUACUUGUGGAAUGCAUGA